GGGUCCGUACCGGGUGGGAACGACGAUGGCACCAGAGCCGCGAACGGGCUUCCGUAGCCCGGAGCCGACGGCGGGUAUCCACCCCCGCUGCUUCCGUGGCUCUGGUGAGGCUUCUCUGGCGCGUACGGCGCGGCGUACGGUGCCGAUGGUGCGCCGUAGGGUGCAGACGGCGCGCCAUAAGGUGCAGCCGGCGCUCCGUACGGUUGCGCUUGGUGUUGGUGGGGCUGGCCGGGUUGGCCUGGCUGGCCUGGCUGCGGCGCGGCGUAGGGUUUGCCUGGUGGAGGCGUGCUGCCGUAGCCGUAGCCGGGGGGCGGGUGUGGGUAUCCAGACAUUUUUAAUUUUGUUUUCUAGUAGAAUAGAAGCUUUUUGAAGAUGAGAAAAUGUUCUGAGAAUUUCAGAGAGGGCUUUGAGCUGAUGGAAAACAGAUCUAUAUAUAACUGAAGUUGAAAUCUCGGACCCGAAGAACUGAGUAAUUACAUCGUUGCCCUUGGCUUUAAAUGUAAUAAUAAAAAGAAUUUAAUUUUUUAAUUAAUUUUAAAACAACUAAUUUAAUUUUAAAAUAAGUAUUCUAUCUUAUUUAAUUAGCUAGGACUAAUCUUCAUGAUUAAGGUCUAAAGUUUGGAUUGUGAAACAAUUUGAUUAGUAAAAAAAAUUAAAACCAUGUGCUUGCCUGGAUUAAAACAAGGGUUAAAUGUUAAAAUGGUCCAUGUGUUAUAGUUAUUUGGCAAAUUUAGUCCAUUUGUUUUUAAUUUGGCCAAUUUAGUCCAUGUGUUUUACUCUGUUAGCCAAUAUUGUCCAUUAGGUCAAAUUACCAUUAAAAAAUUCAUUGAAAUUUUUAUAAGUAAUAAAAAAAAUUAUUAAGUUCAAUUUAUAAAAUUAAAAAAAUUUGGAAUCCUAACAACCUCUAUGCCCUUCUUCUCUCAUGCCGUCACCACCACCACACCCAUCAUGGCAACCACCAUGAGCAGUCCCAACCACCACCUAUUCUCUCUCUCUCUCUCUCUCUCUCUCUCUCUCUCUCAUACCAGAACAAAUGGAUAUAAACCGUAAAGUUAUUAAAAGAGAAUAUUAUCAACUUCAUCUCAAACAACCUCAACAUUGAAAUCCUUAUUGAGCUUCUUCUAGGGAGGUGAAGAUGAUUUCAUGGCAUCAAGCCAACCGUUGGACUAACAUCAUCGAGCUUUCCUUGCUUUUUCCUGGGGAUGUAUCUGUACUUGCCAGAGGAGAAUGAUGCUCCUUGCUGUGAGUAUGGCAACAAACUAGAAUGGAGGCCUAGUCUUGAUUUAGCUCUCGGUGGAGGCGGCAUGAGAGAACGACAUAGAGGCUAUUGGGUUUCCAGAUUUUUUAUUAUGUAAUUAUAUUUAAUUCUGUUAUUUGUGUUUAUAAUUUUUAUUUAUUUGUAAACUGAACUCAAUAAUUUUUUAUUAUUUUUUAAAGCUUUAAUGAAUGUUUUAACUUAAUUUGACGGCAUGGACAACAUUUACUAACGGAAUAGAACACGGGAAUUAAAUUGGUCAAAUUAAAAAUACGGGGAUUAAAUUGGCCAAGUGAGUAAAACACAGAGACCAUUUUAGCAUUUAAGCCUUAAAACAAUAUUGUUUUCUCUUUUUUUCUAUUAACAAAAAUAAAAAGAAAUGGGAGAAAUCCUCAAAUUAAUUUUUUUGUAAUAAUUACAAGGAACUUAGGUUCCAUUCAGUUCAUGAGAAAGGAAGUUUGGGUAUGAGAAAUCAAUUGCUUUCUCAUGUUUGGUAAGUCUAUGUAUAGGAAAUGGUUGCCGUCACAUGAAAAAGUAGGGAGAAAGUGAAGCCCUCCUCUCAACUUAGGUUUUGUUUUCGCUUAUCAUAGGAAUGUUUGGGAAAAUGAGCCAACAUUAAAUGCAUAUUUUUCACGAUCAUUUUGUCCCCAUUAACAAUUUAGAAUUACAAUAUAUCAUUAAAUUCAUUUUUUUAUUUGUCUUAAUGCUUAACAUAAGAGAUGUUAUAAUUGUGAAUGAAUGGGAAAGUGUUUGCCAGCUUUAUUUUCUAGUUUUGGCCUUUCUUCCGGCUCUACAUCUCUUAUGUUAAGCAUCAAGACAAAAGGUAAUAAUGAUUAUUUUUUGAGAACCUCGACGGAACGAGGGAAACUUUAUUGAUAAAGCGAAGAAUGACAACGGGGGGGACAAUGUGUCUGACCCCGACUUAACACAUCACACAAUAGGGCGUCCUGAAUAAGAUCAGGGGGCACCUCAAACCAAAUAAAGUUGUCCACAUUAUGCAAACCAAAACGAGCAAGUCGGUGUGCAACACCAUUUGCUUCCCUAGGAGUAAAUUGAAAAAGAGAGCUAGGAAACUGUUGCUGAAGAUGCUUUACAUCUUCAACAAUGGUACCAAUGUUUGAAUAAUCCUGUCCUGCUCGCUUUAUUGCUGAAACCACCACAGCAGAGUCCCCUUCGAAGAUGGGAGAUGCAGUCCCAAGUGAGAGAGCAAGAGCCACCCCUUCACGAGCUGCAAGAAUUUCUGCAUGUUCAGCCGACAGCACUUCCCCAACUGAUUUUGCCACUGCCGCCACAAAACCUCCAUCCGCGUCUCUGGCAACAACCCCAACAGCCCCUCUACCCGAAGUAGGAUCAAAUGCUCCAUCAAAGUUAAAUUUGAGGCGGCCUGACGGUGGUGCUGCCCAACGCACUGGAUCCCGCACCCGAUCAGUUACUUUGGACGGAGUAUCAUUUGCCGUAAUAAAUUCAUGCACAUACUGUUGAGCAAAACCCACGACCUCAUGUGGAGAACGCUGGACUCCCUGCCACAACAGUGCAUUUCGAUUUCCCCAUAUAGCCCAUAACAAAGUGAUAAUAUGAUCCCGUUGCGCUUUACUUGUACCCUCCAGCAUUUCUCUCAGCCAGUCCUUCAUUGUAUGACAACGUACCUGAUGAGCAUGCCUUGUCAACAAAGAAAUAUUCCAAGUAGCCACUGCAAAAGGACACAUAGCAAGAACAUGCAGAGCACUUUCAGUGAUGUCACCACAAAACAUGCACAUGUCUUGCAUAUCAACCCCCUUCUUAAUUAAGUUUGCCUUGGUAGGAAGAAUAUCAUGGGCUACACGCCAUGCAAAAAUUUUAAGCUUUGUAGGUACAGUGGCAUUCCAAAUAUGUCUCCAUAGCAUACCAGUAUCUGAAUUGGAUGAAGAAGACUCGUCCUCAUCACCAGAAGUAACUCGCAAGGCCACUCUGUAUGCACUCUUUACCGUGAAUAGACCAUGUUUAUCAUAAUUCCAUACAAUCCGGUCUGGUGGUGCCCGAAUACUCAGGGGGAUUCGUACAAUGUCAACCACAUCCACAGGUAAAAAAAGAUUAUUGAGUUUCUGGAGAUCCCAUUGUGGAGAGCCCUCAUUACAAAUCAACUCACUCACCUUGGUAUUCUCCAUACCAUCUAGGGGGGAAGUGAUCACAGCAAAAGUGGCAGGCCUGGGCACCCAUUUAUCCCCCCAAAUUCGUACUGAUUUUCCAUCACCUAUUUGAAAUCUUGAUCCCAUUUCCAACACUUUUCGAGCCGUCCAUAUACUCUUCCAAACACAAGAUGGCCUUGACCCCAGUGUAGCUUCCCAAAAGUUGGUCUGUGGAAAAUAUUUGGCUUUGAGAAGUCUGCUCGCCAAUGAGUGGGGAUUAUGAACCAAACGCCAACCUUGCUUGGCUAGCAUUGCCAUAUUAAAAGCCUGCAAACACCUAAAGCCCAUACCACCUUCAGUCUUCGCUUUGCAUAAUCUCUCCCAGCGCAUCCAAUGAAUUUUCCUAUUUUCCCCUUGUUGACCCCACCAAAAACGUGCCAUCAUUUGUUCUAUCUCAUGACAUAACCCCUGAGGCAAAAGGAAACAGCUCAUAACAUAUAAGGGAAUAGAUUGGGCAACUACCUUCAACAAUACCUCUUUUCCUGCAAUGCUCAAAGUCUGUUCACGCCAACCUUGUAAUUUUUUCCAGACCCUUUCCUUCAGGUAUCGAAAACAAACGGUUUUAUUUCUACCUAACAUCAUUGGGAGGCCAAGGUACGUUGCAUGAGAGUCAACCCGAGGAACCCCUAAUACACUAGCCAAGCGGCUUUGGGUAUCCAUAUGAAUAUUGGCACUAAAAGCCACACAACUUUUUUGACAAUUUAUCUGUUGACCAGAAGCAUGCUCAUACACUUCAAAAAUGUGCUUUAACACCCCACAAUUAUUAUCAGUCGCCUUUGCAAACACAAAACUGUCAUCUGCAAAAAAUAAGUGGCUGACUGUAGGAGCUCCCCUACAAAUAACGAUCCCUUGCAGCUGCCCUUGGCGUUCUGCCUUUGAUAGCAACGUGGUAAAACCUUCCGCACAAAGAAGAAACAAGUAAGGCGAUAAAGGGUCACCUUGCCUUAAUCCCCGUGUUGGGUAUAAAAUCCGAGUAGGUUCACCAUUCACCAAGAAUGAGUAGGAUACAGUUGUCACACAAUCCAUAACCAUCCUUACCCACAGAAUAGGAAAACCCAUAGCCAACAUCAUUUUCUCCAAGAACUCCCAUUCCACACGAUCAUAUGCUUUACUCAUGUCCAAUUUCAGGGCCAAACUCCCCUUCCGUCCUCGUCUCCUUUGUUUCAAAAAAUGAGCGAUCUCAAAAGCCACUAUAGAAUUAUCUGUAAUCAACCGUCCAGGGACAAAAGCACUCUGACUUUCUGAAAUAACGCUCUGCAUAACAAACUUCAUACGAUUCGCUAAAGUUUUUGCUCCAAUACGAUACAGAACAUUACAUAGACUUAUGGGGCGCAACUGAGCCAUGGUUCGUGGCUCCUUAACUUUUGGUAUCAAAGUCACGAAAGUAUGGUUUAGUUGUCGUAACAUCUCAUUGGAUUGUAAAAAAGCUCUAACAGCAGCCACUACAUCAUCUCCUACAAUUCUCCAAUAUUUUUGAUAAAACAAAGGAGGGAGACCAUCUGGACCAGGUGCUUUUGAAGGUUGCAUUUGAAAAACUGCAUCUUUAAUCUCCUGAUACGAGAAAUCUGCUAUUAGUACCUGUUGCAUAUCUGCCGUCACUUUAGGCUCCAAGGCAGAAAGAAUUUCCUCCAUCAUACUUGACCCACUGGAGCGGAACAAAUCUCCAAAAUAAUCAAUUACAAUGGAUGUUAUUCCUUGUCGAGACGUACGCCAGCAACCGUUGCUAUCCUCCAACCCCUUGAUAAUAUUUCUUCUUCGUCUAUUAGUUGCCUUUUGGUGAAAAUAGCUAGUAUUUUUGUCCCCCGCCUUUAACCAAUUUUCUCUAGAUCUUUGACACCAGUAUAAUUCAUUCUUCGCCAACAGCUCAUCAAGGGAUUUUUGCACAACCCUUCGAUCCUCUUCCACCCUUUCAGAGUAAGGGGCCUGAAAUAAACUAGCCAAUUUUGCACGCAGCACUCGAGUUUCCUCCUUGAUAUGUCCAAAGGUACUUUUACUCCAUCUUUGGAGCACCCAAGUCAUCUGCUUUAUCUUUUUGUCCAAGCCCACCAUAGGAUCAAGAUUACCCACAGACUCCCACACCUGUUUUAUUGUUUUUUCACAAUCCACAUGAGUGGUCCACAUUGCUUCAAAGUGAAAACGACGAUAUCGGCUUUUUUGGCACGUUGCAUGCCUUAUUCUCACUAAAAUGGGGAGAUGGUCUGAACGGCUUGGGUCUAAAUGCUGAACGGAAAAACCCGGAAAGAGAUUUUGCCAAGAUGUUGUAGCCAACGCACGAUCCAGCCGCACUCUAACGAAACCAUCUCCAAAGCGGCACUUCCAAGUAAACUUGUACCCAUUAAAGCCCAAAUCUCGGAAACCCAAUUUAUCCACAAUGUUUCUAAAACCUUGCAUCUGUCUGUUAUUUCUUAAAGGACCACCUUCUUUUUCAUCCGUGCUAAGAAUUUCAUUAAAAUCUCCUACACAUAACCAGGGCAGUUGAUUAUGGUGCCCUAAUUGAUCCAAUAAUAUCCAUGACUUCUCCCUAUCUUGCACCGCUGGAAAGCCAUAAAAAACAGUCAAUCGCCAUCGAUCUCCACCUCCAUUAGAACCAAUUUGUACAUCUAUAAAAUGAUCAGAAAAAGCACAAACAUGGACAUCCACCUCUUCCUUCCAUAACAAUGCCAAACCUCCCGAAUAACCUCUACUACUCACACUUGUCACGCCCCUAAAACCAAGUUGUUUUGAUAGUUUCGCCAUGUGAGCACUAUUACAACGAGUUUCACAUAGAAAAACAAUCUUGGGAACUUCUUCACGAAUGAUACUUUUCAACCCAUUAACUGUCGAGGGGUUCCCAAGCCCCUGACAGUUCCAGCUUAGUAGAUUCAUGGCUUCCGGCGGGGCUGAAACGAGUCAGCCACCGCCGAUCCCACAGAGCUUGAAGAAAGAUCCGAAAAACAUCUUCUUUUUUGAGCCGGUAAAACAUCUCCAAACACCACUGCCUUGGGGUCCCUCUUCCUACCUCGACCUUCAGGUUGUGUGAUCUUACCUCUCACACGGUUCGCACUCCGUCCCCGACCCUUAGCACCAUAACUAGUCCUCCCAUGCCGUCUUUCAUUCCCUGCCUGUCUAGUGGCUUUAGACUGCAUGACUUGCCUGAUUAUAGGACUCAACCCAAAAGGAUCAGAAUCUUGUUGGGUUCCAACCAUGUCUAAGCCCACACCCUUCCUCCCAUCAUGUGUUGAAAUAAGCCCACUCCCUUCAUUGGGCCAACUUUUACUCCCAAUACCCCUAUCAUCAGCAAGUCCAAGGCCCCCAUUUAACUCCACGUCAUUGAUAAUUGGAAGCAAAUCAGUACAAUUCCAAUUAGUCCCACAAUCAUGCUGCUCAUUUAAAGCUAACGUUAGCUGCCUAUUAGAAUCCGCAAUACACUCAUGAUUGGGCUCCCAAUCAAUCCCCAAAUUAAGGCUGAGAUUUAAAUCCGGUAAUACAGGGCGACUCAAAUUUUCCAUAACGUGCAAGUUAGAAUUACUAGCCAUAAUUGGAGCAUUUAAUGGCUGUAAAACUUCCCCAGUAAGAUUCUCUUUGUCCAAUCCAACACCGCCGCCAUGACCGUCGUGAGCCACCUCUACGAACUCCUCCACCUCCUCUUCCAUAUCUAUUGGUGCCUUCAUAGACCAUCCAGGAGGGUCAGAGAUCCCAAAUCGCCUUCCCAGGGGUCUACGAUAUUCAGGUCCAAGAAUGUCUUCCUGAAACCAUCGCCCAUAGGGUUUUGCCACAUCGUCUACUUGUUCUCCCUGAAACUUGUGGCAUUGACUUUCAAUAUGAUCGAAGCAUCCACACAGGUAGCAAACGUGCGGGAGUUUUUCAUAUCGAAGGUCAACCCAUUCCACCUUACCCUCUUGCAACUGAAUCGGCAAACAACGCCUUAGUGGUUUGGUAAUAUCUAAGACAACUCGGAUUCGCAAAUAGCUUCCAAAACAUUGGCCCCGCUUGCUUUGAUCUGUGACCACAUACUCCCCGAUCUGUUGCCCGAUCAUCUUACCCAUCUCUCGAGUCAUGUAGAUUAAAGGCAGACCUUUCACUUGAACCCAGAACUCUUGUUGGCAUAACGGAAUCCUCGUCGAGUGCACCAAGUCAUCUGCUUCAGCAAGAACUAGCAGGAAAUGAUUAAAUGUCCAUGGACCUCCCCGUAAUAUUGUCGCCCUAGCCGCAUUCGUCUUAAAAGAGAACACAAAUAAAUCUGCCUCCAAGUCUGCAAUGUCCACCUCCGCCUUUGGCCGCCACAGCAUAUGCAUGGUUCGUUUAAAGGCUUCUUUAUUGAUCGAUUGUCUCGACAGAACUUUACCCACUAGUAGGAACCUUGGUGUUUUCAACGUUCCUGCUUUGUCUGGCUCCACAACCAGUGCCUGUUGCUCCUCCUCAGUGAGAGAAAAGCGAGAAGCAAAGUUUUGCAGCAUAUUCUCCAUGGUCGUGAAAAGGAGAGCCAACAGUGCUCCUCCCCUAUCCGCACACCACACUGCCUGUUGCAAUCCUCGCCAACAGCAGUCUCGUAUCAUACAGAGGUACUACAAUCACCACCGAGAAAACCAGCCGUCUUCUCGGUCCGCCGCCUCCCUGGUGUUUUUAACUCUCCUAAAGAAACCUAGAGACCCGUAAUUGUCAUAUUAUUCUUACAUGAAAUGCAUAUAUUUAUUUUAUGUAUUUAAUGAUUAUAUUAUCAAUGGUAUCGAGAUAUUAGACACCUCUUACUUAUAAAAAAAAUUAUAAAAUAUGAUGUGAUUGUCGUCACACUCUUAUGUCGUGUUACAAACUAAUUCACGUGUUAUAAAAUUUAAGCUACGGUUUUGGCAAGACCAACUUUUGUUUCCAUUUGCAAAAGUCUUUGUGAAGGUAUCAUAUCAUUUCGACCUUAUAGAAUUGCAAGUUGAAUUCAGAACCAGUUCUCCACCUUAAUUCUUAAGCCAUGGAAUUUUUUUCAAUUACAUAAAGCAAUAAUAUUAAUAUCCGUUGAGAGUCGUGACCCACUAACUCCAUCUUCAGCCAAAUAACCUUUCCUUUGCUUCUGAACACGUGUCAUUGACCCUCCUCCAGCCAAAGAAGGAAAACAGUACAGAUGUUAUAAAGAUUAUAUCCUAAAUUUGCUAAAGAGUCUGCAAUCAUAUUUGUUUCCUACAAAUUAUGGGCAAAUUAUAACGACUUGAAAAUCUUAAAGGAGGAAAUUAAAUUAAUUACCAAUUUGGAUUGCUGUCACUUUUUUAAAAGCUGCUUCUGUUAUAUUUUGAAAAUAAUCAACUAUAAACUAAAGUAGUUUCAGGUUUGGUAUAAAAAUUAGUGUAAAACAGUUUGGUAAUGUCAUUUAAAAUAAUUUAUGAUGGUAUUACAUGAAUUGAAAAAAUAUUUACCCUUCAUUUGGAUAGAGGAAAAUAACUCGGGAUUUAGCUAAAAGUCAGGAAUUGAAAAGAAGAAAUUGAUAUUUUCAUUGUUUGGCAACUUAAACAUGAAACUUAUUAAAUGACGCACGGAAAAAAUCGUGGAAAUUGGGGAUUGAGAUUCUUGAAUUUAAUUUCCAUCAAAAGAGUCGUCAUUUCACAAUUCCAAUUGAUCAGGAAUUUGUUUUCACUAUAAUUUUUUUUAUUUACAAAAUUCAACAUAUAUAAAUCCUCGAGAUCUCCUUCAAUUAUAUAAUUGAAAUGCUAAUUUUCAAUUUAGGAUUGCUGUUACUUUUUAAAAAAGCUACUUCUACUAUGUUUUGAAAAUAAUCAGUUAUAAAGUAAAAUAGUUCCACGUUUAAUAUAAAAAUUAAUGUCAAACAAUUUGAUAAAUUUUAGUAUAAAACUAUUGUAAUUGUAGAUAACGAUUAAAAUGAUCAUAAUAUUGAAAGUGGCGGUGGUAGAGAUUGAGGUAAUAGUGGUGGUGACGAUGUUAUUGAAAUUUUUUGUUAUUAAAAAUAAAUAAUUAAACUUUAUAUACGCAAGAAUAAUAGAAUUAGAUUAACAUACUAUUCCACUUUUGAAAACCACUUCCUGUUACUUCUUACGUCUGUAAUUGUGGAUUAAAGGAUUUGCUAGAAAUUUUAUCGAGUCUAGUGUUAAAGUGCUUUAUUUUUUUCUUCUUUUUGGUGAAAAGAGGAUAGACUUUGCCAAUAAAAAAAACCAAAAAGCAACACACUUUACGGGCAAAAAACAAACAUGGAUGCUAAGCGAUUAGAGGAGAGGAUUUGCUCAAAGCAAAAGGCAAGUCUGGUGGGCCAUAUAGAUUAUUUUUUUUUUUCGAAGCUUACUUGGGUUACAGCCAUAGCCCUCCCUGUAGUUUCCUCAGUGCUCCCCUCUCUCCUUCUCUCUUUCCCCAUUUUCAGUGACAUAAGAUUUUUAUUUAUUGUCUUCGUUUUGUUAUGAUUUUUCUCCACCCAUAAUAAGUGGCUGCGUCUCGACGUUGAAUCUCCACCUGUAAUAAUAUGUGAAAAUUUUAUUUUAAAAGUAAAUAUAUUACGUUGGUCCCAAAAUUCAAACAAGUGGUAAAAAAAAAAAAAACUAUUUCAGAAGAGAGGAUAAAAAGUAGACCAAUUAGAACAAAUCCAAUCAAUAAGAUCAUAAUUAGUUUGAGGUCCCUUAAGUCUUAAAGAAGAAAGUUGAUUCCAAAGGUAAAAAUGAUAUAAUUAAUGCAUGAUUUGAUCAUGAUGUGCGUAAAAUGAUAAAUUAUGUAAAAUAAUUCGUACCAUGAUCUUUAUAUAUAUAAAAAAGAGGCUGCUAAGACUUUGAAGUGGCCAGAGGCUCUAGUGCGAACCACUAAAUGAGAAUCUUAAAUGAGGAUUAGUCUGAGUCGUCCAAAUUGAUCUGAACGGAUGAACAUGUAAAAUUAAGCUUUCAGUAGAGGCGCUGCCAAUGGCAUCUUCCUGGCAAAGAAGAAGACUCAGGUGCGAUUCGUUUCAUCACGUCUGGUUUCAUAUAAAACUACGUGGUUUUGUUUAUAAAGUCUUUUAUUUUAACAAAAUUCUGUGUUUUGAUUGUUUUAGUAUGAAAAAGAGUUGAAUACAUUUUUGAUUGGGUUUUACAUGAAAAUUUAAUUUGGUCACUGAGAAUUUUUUUAAGCCAAAUAGGUUACUGUGUUUCCUAAAGUUUAUAAUUUAAAGACAUUCCAUAUCUUCUGUUAAGUGCAGUUCUUCCUCUAAGGCCUAGUUUAGGAUUUCUGCCGCUUUAAAAAAAAGCUGCUCUUGCUGUGCUUCAAAAAGAAUUAAAGGUAAAGUAAAGCAAUUAAACGUUUGGUAAACUGUAAUUUUAAAAGUGUUGUGAGUAUGAAAAGUUUGGUAAAAUUUUACUGUAAAAGUGUUGUAACUAUUUAUAAUGACUAAAAUGAACAUGAUGCUGAAAGUGCUUUUUACUAAUCUGUUUGGUAAAAAAUAAAACUGUAAAGUGCUUUUAUACUUUUCUCCCUAAAAAUUAUAUUAAUCUUUAUUUAAAGAAAAGUAAAAAU
rnacentral:lncRNA from 1 species